rnacentral:rRNA from 1 species
GUUUGAUUUAGUCGGGGUACACACCGCCCGUCAACCGGAACGAUUAGUUCUGGUAAGUCGUAACAUGGUAACGCUGGGGGAACCGAGCGUUAGUUGACUAGGGGUUUAUUUUCCUUGUUAGAAAGUUGAG